ensembl:lncRNA
CUUCUAUUUGUUUGUUUUGUUUUGUUUUUCCUUUUACAGAAUAAAUUGAUGUCAGGUUGGAAGUUAAAACUACAGAUCAACAACGACAAACCCCUCACAUACGAAUUUAAAGAAAACUUUAUACUGGAGAGACACUCUGUGCUGAUAGUGUUAGUGCAGCUGUCCCUUUAAUAGUUCUGAUACCUGGUGACAUCACAGGAAGCAGGAAGUAGUAAGGUUUAGUGACGUUUGCACAUGGCCAAGGAGACUGGCAUGAAUCCACAUGCAUCUGCCCUCAAUCCUUCGUCUUUUGGAGCAUCGUCUUUUCACACUUUCUACAUCAUUAAACCUGUGGACAAAGAGUAAUGGUCUUCAGAGUCUUGAUGGAAGAAAAGUGUUGAACCUUGCUGCUGGUUCCUCUUCUGUGCAGUGUGGAGAGGGAAAGACAGUACACACUCGUUUUACGACAAGACGCUGUCAAGAAGCCAAAUAAAACUGAUGCUGACUUGGUGUGGAUAUACAUGGUCAACUGGAACAUUGGAGACAACGUGAAGAUCGACCUCAUCAGCAACACUGGAGAAGAACAGAUGCUGUUUAAAAAACAAGAUCAUGUUAAAUAAUCAUUGUAACUUUUCUGUGGAAUAAAUUAAAAAAGAGCAUUAUUACAUUUUAUAUAUUUGAUAUCAUUUUAUGUUAGUUAAAAAUUUUGUGUUUUUAUUUAAUUAAAAAUAUGUAAAUAAAAAA